rnacentral:rRNA from 1 species
UACGUAGGUGACAAGCGUUGUCCGGAUUUACUGGGCGUAAAGAGCGCGCAGGCGGUCGUUCAAGUCGAGUGUGAAAGCCCCCGGCUCAACUGGGGAGGGUCACUCGAUACUGAUCGACUCGAAGGCAGGAGAGGGAAGUGGAAUUCCCGGUGUAGUGGUGAAAUGCGUAGAUAUCGGGAGGAACACCAGUGGCGAAAGGCGGACUUCCUGGCCUGUUCUUGACGCUGAGGCGCGAAAGCUAGGGGAGCAAACGGG